CAGAAGUGCCACUGAACUGUGGAAGGGCAAAUGACAACUGAGUCAAUACGGAAGUCAAAACAGAGCGCAGGACUGCUUUUCUUAUCUGUGAUAUUUUGAACCUGAAAAACAAAAUCUCCAAAGACAAGAAUAUUAGGAGAGAGCAAGGCAGAAUCAUGUUGAGAAAGUGACAAGAACAGCGUGAGACACGUGGCUUCCUUUCAAGUUUCAGUAAUAGCCAAAUUACAGCUACUGCAACUAAAGAUCUAUGAAACAGAAACAGCCAAAUGUAAACGAUUAAAAGAACAGACAAAUCUAUAAUUUAAAAUAAAUGAAAAGGAUCUCAUCGAAAGGAAACCUGAUUCAGGCGGGAGCUAAGAAGGCUCCCUCCAGCCGCUCCACCUCUGCAAUGUUUUCUCACUCAGCAAAUGCCAUAUAUAGAAAUAAUAACUACAUCUGGAUGCAACAUUUGAUGUGCUUCGGGUGACCCAUUUGGCAACUCGAGUGAAUUCUACAGGAACUGGGAUAUCAUUUUUUAGUCAUGCUUUUAAAAGCAGUACUCAAAAUCUCAGAGAUGGGAGAGCGGAUG